CCAGCAACUUGGGGGAAUGAGUUUUGUAUUUUGAUCAAAACAAAGGAUUAUAUCUUAUAAAGUUCUAGAUAAAAGAUUGAUGAUGACAGUUUUUUAUCUAUGUGUCUUGGCUAAAUUUUGUGCCAGCAGCCGCGGUAAUACAAAGGAGACUAGUGUUAUUCAUCUUUAUUAGGUUUAAAGGGUACCUAGACGGCUUAUCUUGUUCCCUUAGAGGGGAAAAAUACCGAUUAGCUAGAGUUUUAUGUAAAAGGAACAUGUGGAACUAAAAGAGGAGAGAUAAAAUUUAUUAAUACUUUUAGGACCGACAAAGGUGAAAGCAAACCUUUAUGUAAUAACUGACGUUGAGGGACGAAGGCAUUGCGCAACGAACAGGAUUAGAUACCCUAGUAGUCUUUGCAGUAAAUGAUAAAUGCCAUAGGUCAGGACUAG
rnacentral:rRNA from 1 species